rnacentral:rRNA from 1 species
AACGCUAGCUACAGGCUUAACACAUGCAAGUCGAGGGGUAGCAGGGUAGCAAUACCGCUGACGACCGGCGCACGGGUGAGUAACACGUAUCCAACCUUCCCAUGACUCAGGGAUAGCCUUUCGAAAGAAAGAUUAAUACCUGAUAGUACUUAUUUAAGGCAUCUUGAAUAAGUUAAAGAUUUAUCGGUUAUGGAUGGGGAUGCGUUCCAUUAGAUUGUUGGUGAGGUAACGGCUCACCAAGUCUUCGAUGGAUAGGGGUUCUGAGAGGAAGGUCCCCCACAUUGGUACUGAGACACGGACCAAACUCCUACGGGAGGCAGCAGUGAGGAAUAUUGGUCAAUGGGCGAGAGCCUGAACCAGCCAAGUAGCGU